GAGGCGGUUUGUGAAAAGACGUUUACAGCUCUAAGUUACAGAGGUUCGAGUACAGGUGUUUGAGCAGAAAAGUGACAUGAUCUGACACAUUUAGCCACACAGGCGGCUGCAGUGGAAUAGCCCCAACCUGAGAAUGGAUCAAACAAAAUGGAAACUUCCAUGUGAUGUAAAGAUAAAAUAUUGAAUAGUUCUUCAAUCUGAGAACACAUUUUUCAGUUGAAUUUUCAGUCUUGUCAGUCCUCAAUCACUUGUUUUAACCUCUAUUUCAAUUUUUAAAAACCACCAAAAGACCAUUAAAGGAUAGUAAAUAAUGUGGGAUGCCCAUUAAUAUGGGUGAGCAGCAAUGAAGUUUGUACCUUGAUCAGAGAAAUAUAACCAGAGAAUGAUGUAAAACAAUACAUGAUUACAUAGUCAUCACCUGUGGUUUGAAGGCAAAAGAAUUGCACAUAUAUUCAAAUGAUUUGGAUAUAUUGACAAAAAACAUACUGGAUGAUUGCAGCUGAUGUCAAAAUAAUUGUUUCUUUCAUCUACUAUUUGAAUGGUGACUGAUGGAGAAAUCAUUCACGAUAAUAUGCUCCAGAAGGAAAAUAUACCCACCCAGCUAUUGUUUCGGCUCCUUAAAUCAUAUUUUUACUUUGUCUGAUAAAAAGGCUCAUUUACCUUGGAAAUAGCAAAUGUGUCUGCUACAAAAUGGGUUUCCUGAUGUCAAGUAAGAUAAAUAUCAGGCCAAGGGCCCAUAGCUUUCUUAUAUAUUAAUAACUAAAUACAGAAAUUUGAAGCAUUAACAAUGGCAUUCCUCCAGGAAAAAGGGGGGGUUGUCAUUUACUCAUCAGAUAUUUAUUGAAAACCUAUAUAUAUCAGAAACUGGUAUUAGAGCUGGAGCUGCAAUAUGAACAACAGAAAUUCCUACCCUUGGCUCACAUUGAUCCUAAAUAACUGUGUCUUUGCAAGAAAGAACUGAGUGGCCAUUUCCACUGUCUGACUUCAGUCAUUGUAAACGUACCACAAAGUAGGAUGAGUAUCGUACAUACCGUUGAAUUCAACACCAUCUGGAAAUGCUACUAUGCAAACUCCAGCAUCAAAUAUGAGCCAGGUGAUGUACUCACAUCCCUUCUCAGCCUCAUAAAUAAAUACUCCAGGUAGGUGCUACUCUUUCCCUAUAAUACAUCCUUAUAGCUCACAAUGCAUAAAAUGACUUCAUCCAAUCAAAUGCCAUGGCAGAUCUGAGUUUUCACUUGGUUGUUGGAACAGUUUUGGAAAAGUCUGUCAGGGAAAUAGUACUGUUUAAAGCCUGUGGCUGGAAUAAGUGUUGUUCUUUUGUACCAGUACUUCUAGAAGAUUUAAGGGCUUCUGGGAAUCUUAUGUAAAUUGGCAGUUUCAGAUCCUCUGAGAAAUCAUCUGAUGCAGUUCCCUGUCUGUAGUGCAUUCUCUCCUAGUUAGAGAGUAUGUCUGGCACCAGAGAGUAUUUUGACAGAAAUCUUGCUUCUGAUGUAUAUUUGUUAAGUUUCCCUCUAGGUGUUUUUUUUAAGGAUACAGAUGCCUGUUGUUUUUCAUGACUUAUUGAAUAAAUAGAACACAAGAGGAGGUUUGAUUUCUUAAAUAAGGAAAGCAUUAAAGUCCAUGCACUUAAACAUA